rnacentral:rRNA from 1 species
GACGAACGCUGGCGGCGUGCUUAACACAUGCAAGUCGAACGAUGAAGCCGGAGCUUGCUCCGGUGGAUUAGUGGCGAACGGGUGAGUAACACGUGAGCAAUCUGCCCUUGACUCUGGGUUAACUGCGGGAAACUGUAGCUAAUGCCGGAUACGACACCUUGGGGCAUCCCAGGGUGUGGAAAGAAUUUCGGUCAAGGAUGAGCUCGCGGCCUAUCAGCUAGUUGGUGAGGUAAUGGCUCACCAAGGCGACGACGGGUAGCCGGCCUGAGAGGGUGACCGGCCACACUGGAACUGAGACACGGUCCAGACUCCUACGGGAGGCAGCAGUGGGGAAUAUUGCACAAUGGGCGAAAGCCUGAUGCAGCAACGCCGCGUGAGGGAUGAAGGCCUUCGGGUUGUAAACCUCUUUUAGCAGGGAAGAAGCGAAAGUGACGGUACCUGCAGAAAAAGCACCGGCUAACUACGUGCCAGCCGCCGCGGUAA